AUGGCAAGAUUUAAUGCAUAUUAUCAGUUAGAGCUGCUUUCAGUGGUGGGACUUAAUUGAAAUUAAUAAUAAGGGCAAUUGCUUAUAUUGUUUUUGAAAGUUUUCGACUUUCUCAUUUACCUCUUUUAGAAAGUUAAUAUUUAAAAUACCUUAUUUACGUUUCAACCUAUUUCAAAUAUACCACUAGAGUUAAAUUCUGUCAAUGAACUGUUAGUAAUAGUUGUUAUCUUUAUAAAAUUACUAUUUUGUCUUUUCAAAUAUACUUUUCUAUCAUCACUGACUUUUUUUAUUUGCCCUUACGUUAGAGGCACAAAAUGUACUUUGAUUUUUCGUCUUGUCAAAUAUACUCUUCUAUUAUUACCCAUAUUUCUUAUUUGUCCUUAAGUUAAGAACAAAAGAGGCAUUUUGAUUUUUUUAACUCCUGUAAAUAUUUAACUCAUAUUUAACCUAAGUUAACUUAACGGAUGGUAACUAUAGAGCUAUUUUGAAAUAACGGAGAAACAUAUAAGAAGUAUAUUGAAAAAAAAAGAAGUAGAGUUAAAUAAGAUAUUUUCGAAGUUUCGAGAGAUAUACAGGCAAUUCUCCCUUAAAGAUUGCAUGCUCUUAAUUAAUAGUUAUAUAUGACUUAUUGUAUCA
rnacentral:lncRNA from 1 species